rnacentral:rRNA from 1 species
UACGUAGGGUGCAAGCGUUGUCCGGAAUUAUUGGGCGUAAAGAGCUCGUAGGCGGUCUGUCGCGUCUGCUGUGAAAACCUAGGGCUUAACUCUGGGCGUGCAGUGGGUACGGGCAGGCUAGAGUGCGGUAGGGGAGACUGGAAUUCCUGGUGUAGCGGUGAAAUGCGCAGAUAUCAGGAGGAACACCGGUGGCGAAGGCGGGUCUCUGGGCCGUAACUGACGCCUGAGGAGCGAAAGCAUGGGGAGCGAACAGG